rnacentral:rRNA from 1 species
UACGGAGGGGGCUAGCGUUGUUCGGAAUUACUGGGCGUAAAGCGCACGUAGGCGGCUUCGUAAGUUAGAGGUGAAAGCCCGGGGCUCAACUCCGGAAUUGCCCUUAAGACUGCAUCGCUAGAAUUGUGGAGAGGUAAGUGGAAUUCCGAGUGUAGAGGUGAAAUUCGUAGAUAUUCGGAAGAACACCAGUGGCGAAGGCGACUUACUGGACACAUAUUGACGCUGAGGUGCGAAAGCGUGGGGAGCAAACAGG